rnacentral:tRNA from 1 species
GGAGGGUUGGCUGAGAGGUUGAAAGCACCGCUUUCGAAAAGCGGAAUCCGAGAAAUUGGAUCACAGGUUCAAAUCCUGUACCCUCCG